rnacentral:rRNA from 1 species
GACGAACGCUGGCGGCGUGCUUAACACAUGCAAGUCGAACGGAAAGGCCCUGCUUUUGUGGGGUGCUCGAGUGGCGAACGGGUGAGUAACACGUGAGUAACCUGCCCUUGACUUUGGGAUAACUUCAGGAAACUGGGGCUAAUACCGGAUAGGAGCUCCUGCUGCAUGGUGGGGGUUGGAAAGUUUCGGCGGUAGGGGAUGGACUCGCGGCUUAUCAGCUUGUUGGCGGGGUAGUGGCUUACCAAGGCUUUGACGGGUCGCCGGCCUGAGAGGGUGACCGGCCACAUUGGGACUGAGAUACGGCCCAGACUCCUACGGGAGGCAGCAGUGGGGAAUAUUGCACAAUGGGCGGAAGCCUGAUGCAGCAACGCCGCGUGCGGGAUGACGGCCUUCGGGUUGUAAACCGCUUUCGCCUGUGACGAAGCGUGAGUGACGGUAAUGGGUAAAGAAGCACCGGCUAACUACGUG